rnacentral:rRNA from 1 species
UACGUAGGGGGCUAGCGUUGUCCGGAAUCAUUGGGCGUAAAGCGCGCGUAGGCGGCCCGAUAAGUCUGCUGUGAAAGUCCAGGGCUCAACCCUGGAAUGCCGGUGGAUACUGUCGGGCUAGAGUUCGGAAGAGGCAAGUGGAAUUCCUGGUGUAGCGGUGGAAUGCGCAGAUAUCAGGAGGAACACCUAUAGCGAAGGCAGCUUGCUGGGACGACACUGACGCUAAGGCGCGAAAGCGUGGGGAGCGAACAGG